CAACAGGGUGAGCACAUGCCUCUCGCCUGGCCAGUCUCAGCCCCAGGCAUCCUGUCUGGGCACCCAGUUACGUGCCUGGGUAGGUGCCAGGAAGCCUCGCCUCAUCCGAUCCAGAGCUCUGAGGCUGCCAGAUUCACCAGGGGGAUUCAAGCCCAUCUGCACUUGAGUGGAGAUCUAGAACUUGACUAAUGCCAGCACCCCGUGCAACUUCUUUCCAUCACCCAAUACACCGCAUUCACCUGAUACAUCAGAGCUCUGGGAUCAAGAAAUGGGUGUUGAGAAGCCUCCCAUCUGCCUUGGCCCCAGCCUGGGGCACUCAUCUGCCGGGCCCCCACCCUACCCCUCACACCACCAGCUGCUCCCAGCCACAGCUGGUUGGGGCCAGCCUUCCUGGCCCACAGCAUCAGAGGGGGAUGCACUGCAAACUCAGGCUACAGGGCACGCAGAGCAAAACCAACAGGGCCUCUGUGGGUGGCAUCUCAUUCUUCUUCAUCCCCUGCAUAAGCGUGAACUAUGGCCUCUCUGUGCCAGGCACUGCACUAAUCCCCAGAGUUCCAGGAGGCUCUUGAGCCUGUGGCGCUCACACUCUGGAGAGGAGGUUGAAUGAGAGAACUACACAUUGGUGCUUGUUCUUCCUUUGUAAGUCAGGGCUCUCCAACAUCAUCCCCCACGGCAGAGCCAUCAGCCACCAGGACACCACCCAAGGUCAAGUCCACUUACAGACAUCCACCUGACUACAAAGAUGCUGCUGGAGGAAUUUUGUCUGUUUUGCUCACAGCUGCAUCCCCAACACCUGUAACAGUGUCUGGCCCAUAGUAGGUGCUCAAUAAACACUUGUUAAUAA
rnacentral:lncRNA from 10 species